GAGAUCAAAGAAGUUCGCGCGGGCGACAUCGCGGCUGCUAUCGGCCUGAAAGACGUGACUACCGGUGACACCCUGUGUGAUCCGGAAAACCCGAUCAUUCUGGAACGUAUGGAAUUCCCUGAGCCGGUAAUCUCCAUCGCGGUAGAACCGAAAACCAAAGCUGACCAGGAAAAAAUGGGUCUGGCUCUGGGCCGUCUGGCGAAAGAAGACCCGUCGUUCCGCGUAUGGACUGAUGAAGAAUCUAACCAGACCAUCAUCGCUGGUAUGGGUGAACUUCACCUAGAUAUCAUCGUUGACCGUAUGAAGCGUGAAUUCAACGUUGAAGCGAACGUGGGUAAACCUCAGGUUGCUUACCGCGAAGCGAUUCGCGCGAAAGUUACCGACAUCGAAGGUAAACACGCGAAACAGUCUGGUGGUCGCGGUCAGUAUGGUCAUGUUGUUAUCGACAUGUACCCGCUGGAGCCGGGCUCUAACCCGAAAGGUUACGAGUUCAUCAACGACAUCAAAGGUGGUGUAAUUCCUGGCGAGUACAUCCCGGCCGUUGAUAAAGGCAUCCAGGAGCAGCUGAAAUCUGGCCCGCUGGCGGGUUAUCCGGUAGUUGAUCUCGGUGUGCGUCUGCACUUCGGUUCUUACCAUGACGUUGACUCCUCUGAGCUGGCGUUUAAACUGGCUGCGUCUAUCGCCUUUAAAGAAGGCUUUAAGAAAGCAAAACCAGUUCUGCUUGAGCCGAUCAUGAAGGUUGAAGUAGAAACACCUGAAGAGAAUACCGGUGACGUUAUCGGCGACCUUAGCCGCCGUCGUGGUAUGCUCAAAGGUCAGGAAUCUGAAGUUACAGGCGUUAAGAUCCACGCUGAAGUACCGCUGUCUGAAAUGUUCGGAUAUGCAACUCAGCUGCGUUCUCUGACCAAAGGUCGCGCAUCGUACACUAUGGAAUUCCUGAAGUAUGAUGAUGCGCCGAACAACGUUGCUCAGGCCGUAAUCGAAGCCCGUGGUAAAUAAGCCGCAGGGUUAAAAACCAAAAUCCCGUGCUCUCUCCUGAAGGGGAGAGCGCUAUAGUAAGGAAUAUAGCCGUGUCUAAAGAAAAAUUUGAACGUACAAAACCGCACGUUAACGUCGGCACCAUCGGCCACGUUGACCACGGUAAAACUACCCUGACCGCUGCAAUCACCACCGUACUGGCUAAAACCUACGGCGGUGCUGCUCGUGCAUUCGACCAGAUCGAUAACGCUCCGGAAGAAAAAGCGCGUGGUAUCACCAUCAACACUUCUCACGUUNUUAAUUGAUGGGGUCAGCGCAAGCGAAGCUCCUGAUCGAAGCCCCGGUAAACGGCGGCCGUAACUAUAACGGUCCUAAGGUAGCGAAAUUCCUUGUCGGGUAAGUUCCGACCUGCACGAAUGGCGUAAUGAUGGCCAGGCUGUCUCCACCCGAGACUCAGUGAAAUUGAACUCGCUGUGAAGAUGCAGUGUACCCGCGGCAAGACGGAAAGACCCCGUGAACCUUUACUAUAGCUUGACACUGAACAUUGAGCCUUGAUGUGUAGGAUAGGUGGGAGGCUUUGAAGUGUGGACGCCAGUCUGCAUGGAGCCGACCUUGAAAUACCACCCUUUAAUGUUUGAUGUUCUAACGUGGACCCGUGAUCCGGGUUGCGGACAGUGUCUGGUGGGUAGUUUGACUGGGGCGGUCUCCUCCUAAAGAGUAACGGAGGAGCACGAAGGUUGGCUAAUCCUGGUCGGACAUCAGGAGGUUAGUGCAAUGGCAUAAGCCAGCUUGACUGCGAGCGUGACGGCGCGAGCAGGUGCGAAAGCAGGUCAUAGUGAUCCGGUGGUUCUGAAUGGAAGGGCCAUCGCUCAACGGAUAAAAGGUACUCCGGGGAUAACAGGCUGAUACCGCCCAAGAGUUCAUAUCGACGGCGGUGUUUGGCACCUCGAUGUCGGCUCAUCACAUCCUGGGGCUGAAGUAGGUCCCAAGGGUAUGGCUGUUCGCCAUUUAAAGUGGUACGCGAGCUGGGUUUAGAACGUCGUGAGACAGUUCGGUCCCUAUCUGCCGUGGGCGCUGGAGAACUGAGGGGGGCUGCUCCUAGUACGAGAGGACCGGAGUGGACGCAUCACUGGUGUUCGGGUUGUCAUGCCAAUGGCACUGCCCGGUAGCUAAAUGCGGAAGAGAUAAGUGCUGAAAGCAUCUAAGCACGAAACUUGCCCCGAGAUGAGUUCUCCCUGAGACUUUAGGUCUCCUGAAGGAACGUUGAAGACGACGACGUUGAUAGGCCGGGUGUGUAAGCGCAGCGAUGCGUUGAGCUAACCGGUACUAAUGAACCGUGAGGCUUAACCUU
rnacentral:rRNA from 1 species